CAGUAGCCGCGGUAAUACGAAGGGGGCUAGCGUUGUUCGGAAUAACUGGGCGUAAAGCGCACGUAGGCGGAUAUUUAAGUCAGGGGUGAAAUCCCGCAGCCCAACUGCGGAACUGCCUUUGAUACUGGGUAUCUUGAGUAUGGAAGAGGUUAGUGGAAUUGCGAGUGUAGAGGUGAAAUUCGUAGAUAUUCGCAGGAACACCAGUGGCGAAGGCGGCUAACUGGUCCAUAACUGACGCUGAGGUGCGAAAGCGUGGGGAGCAAACAGGAUUAGAUACCCCAGUAGUCCCUGUCUCUUAUAC
rnacentral:rRNA from 1 species